CUGUGGUGAAUACGUUCCCGGCUCUUGUACACACCGCCCGUCAAACCAUGAAAGUCACCAACACCCGAAGUCCGAUUCGUCGGCCUAAGGUGGGGGGGAUGAUUGGGGGUUU
rnacentral:rRNA from 1 species